GUAUGCUCUGAUAGUAGCUUGUUUAGUGACCAUGGUAUACUCUGAUAGUAGCUUGUCCAGUGUCCAUGGUAGGACCAUGGUCACUGAACAAGCUACUAUCAGAGCAUAC
rnacentral:pre_miRNA from 1 species